CAUGAAUCAGCCAGAGGUAUUUUAAAGAUUUCUUCCUGCUAUUAAGACCGAAUUUAACUCCAUCUGGUCAGAUAACAUAUUUUGUAUGACACAAGAUUUAAAAUCUUGGCUGAAGCUACUUCCUGCUCGAGAACGUGAUCUCCCUCAGUUAAUGUCCCACGUGCACUGGAAACAAACAAUGAGCUGUCACGCAGUGGAGGUUCUCCACCGGUCCUGAGAGGUGACUUCCCUCUGCUGCAGAUGAAGUCGUUCUUCUGCAGAUGGAUUAGGAGCCCUGGUUCCACAGCCUGCUUCUCCCCUGGAAAACCCCCUGACCCACAGUCCCGACGCUGGGGGCAAGAACCACGGCUCGCACGGUCUCACCCCCACUUUAGAAGUUGAGUGCUUGGAGACAUCCCUGGCAGUCCAGUGGUUAAGACUCCAUGCUCCCAAUGCAGAAGACACAGGGUCGACCCCUGGUUGAGGAACUAAGACCCCACCUGCUGCAGGGCAAGGCCGAAAAGUAAAAAUUAAAAGGCGAGGAAGAAGUUGAGUGCUUGGUGGGUUGGGGCCGGCCGCUCCAAUUCUCGGCGGGGAAGCCCCCACCACCAGCCAGAGUGUGGAGAGAGGGAACCAGCACCCUCAGCGCCUGAGCCCAGGGUGGGGCCCGGGUGGGGUCUGAGCUGGAGCAGGACCCACCCUCAGCCACACUCACUCAGGAUUUAGACUCAAACGCAGAUGUCAGAGGGGCAGGGCAAGAAACGCUGACAAGCUGCCCUCCCGGGAAGGUAGCCCAACAGUGGGAUGCCGGGGGCGGUGGGGAGUGUGGGGGCCCCGGCAUGUGGGGCUGUCUGGCCUGGGGUGGGCUUCCGUCCUGCUGAGCCAGAGUGCGGGGGUUCAGGGGUACACACCUAGGUUCACAGACCCCGGACUCUUCCAGUUCUUACCAAGUUCUAGUAGAUUUUAUGGGAUGAAUGUUUCUUCAUUUGAAAUGGCUCCAGGGUCAUUUCCAGAGAACAGCCAUUUGCAUUUUUUAAAAAAUAGUCUCCGGUUUUACAUUAAGUGGAACCACAGAGCCCCCUUGCUGUCGUGCGGAGAGCAGAGCGCCCUGCAGCUUUGUGAUUCGGCGACAUCUGAAUGUGAGAUCUUCAGAGUUCCCCUUCGGCUACGCACCUGAUGGAAAGCUGGUGCAGGAAGAACAUGGUCCCUCCAAAGGGACCCUCCGCUCAGCUCUCCUCCCACGACCACUGUCCUCUGUCCAGCGCUUCCUCCUUGGCAACACACAGGAUUUUAUUCCCUUACCCUGUACAUCCAAACUGUAAUAAA